GACGAACGCUGGCGGCGUGCCUAAUACAUGCAAGUCGAGCGAAGUUUUUCUGGUGCUUGCACUAGAAAAACUUAGCGGCGAACGGGUGAGUAACACGUAAAGAACCUGCCUCAUAGACUGGGACAACUAUUGGAAACGAUAGCUAAUACCGGAUAACAGUAUUUCUCGCAUGAGAGAUAUUUAAAAGUUGGUUAUGCUAACACUAUGAGAUGGCUUUGCGGUGCAUUAGAUAGUUGGUGGGGUAAAGGCCCACCAAGGCGACGGUGCAUAGCCGACCCGAGAGGGUGAUAGGCCACACUGGGACUGGGACACGGCCCCGACUACUGAGGGAGGGAGCAGUAGGGAAUCUUCGGCAAUGGGGGGAAGCCUUACGGAGUAAGGCCGCGUGAGUUAAAGAGGAUUUCGGUUCGUAAAGAUCUGUUGUUAGGGAAGAAUGGAUAUGUAGUAACUAUACAUGUAAGAGACGGUACCUAAACAGAAAGCCACGGCUAACUACGUG
rnacentral:rRNA from 1 species